rnacentral:rRNA from 1 species
GAUCAAGCGAAUAAGUGCAUAUGGUGGAUGCCUUGGCGAUUACAGGCGAUGAAGGACGUGGUAGCCUGCGUAAAAUUUCGGGGAGCUGGCAAACAAGCUUUGAUCCGGAAGUGUCCGAAUGGGGAAACCCACCCGCAAGGGUAACCGUCUCUGAAUAUAUAGGAGAAUGGUGGCGAACCGAGUGAACUGAAACAUCUAAGUAGCUCGAGGAAAAGAAAUCAACCGAGAUUCCGUAAGUAGUGGCGAGCGAACAUGGAAUAGCCUGUUAUUUUUAGCACAUGCGAUAGUAGAACGGAAUGGAAAGUCCGGCCAUAGA